GUACACUCCUACGGGAGGCAGCAGUGGGGAAUAUUGGACAAUGGGCGCAAGCCUGAUCCAGCCAUGCCGCGUGAGUGAUGAAGGCCCUAGGGUUGUAAAGCUCUUUCACCGGUGAAGAUAAUGACGGUAACCGGAGAAGAAGCCCCGGCUAACUUCGUGCCAGCAGCCGCGGUAAUACGAAGGGGGCUAGCGUUGUUCGGAUUUACUGGGCGUAAAGCGCACGUAGGCGGACUAUUAAGUCAGGGGUGAAAUCCCGGGGCUCAACCCCGGAACUGCCUUUGAUACUGGUAGUCUUGAGUUCGAGAGAGGUGAGUGGAAUUCCGAGUGUAGAGGUGAAAUUCGUAGAUAUUCGGAGGAACACCAGUGGCGAAGGCGGCUCACUGGCUCGAUACUGACGCUGAGGUGCGAAAGCGUGGGGAGCAAACAGGAUUAGAAACCCGAGUAGUCCCAUGAU
rnacentral:rRNA from 1 species